rnacentral:rRNA from 1 species
UAAUACGUAGGAUCCAAGCGUUGUCCGGAAUUACUGGGUGUAAAGGGCGUGUAGGUGGGCUUCUAAGUCGGUGGUGAAAUCCUGCAGCUUAACUGUAGAACUGCCAUUGAUACUGGAAGUCUUGAGUACGGCAGAGGGAGAUAGAAUUCAUGGUGUAGCGGUGAAAUGUGUAGAUAUCAUGAAGAAUACCAGUUGCGAAGGCGGUCUCCUGGUCCGUUACUGACACUGAGGCGCGAAAGCGUGGGGAGCAAACAGGAUUAGAUACCCUGGUAGUCCACGCCUUAAACGAUGGGUACUAGGUGCUGGUCCCGUUCGGCAUUCGUGCGAACGAGUGCGGAACGGGGUCAGUGCCAAAGUUAACGCAUUAAGUACCCCACCUGGGGAGUACGAUCGCAAGGUUG